rnacentral:lncRNA from 1 species
GGGGAACGAUGAAAACGCCAGGAAGUGGAGAGGCUUAGACGAAAGGGAAAAGGAAGACACUAAUGUCAUCUCAGAAAUAUCUCCUCCCCAACCCGACACACUCCAAUGCUGCUUGGACUUGAAGUUGAUGGAAAACUCUACAUUUAUGCCAGUUUCCAAGAAGAAAACUAAAGUCAGACUUGGCAGCACAGGAAACAAGACAAUACCCCGCCUGGAGAACAUGGAGCCCUCAAGGAAGCUCAUGCUUUUCUGGAAGACUUAGGUAGAAAGAAGCAAAAAGUUAACUGGAAGAAACUAAUCCCAAGCCUGUGCCAGAAAUGGAAUUUAAAUUGAUAUUACCUGCAUUGUGUGGGAGCUGCAAGGAAACAAAUUAACACAAAGACUGAUUCAGUAUUAUUGGAACCCCUGGGAACCUACCAGAAUAAAAACAAACCGUGACACUUUCACAACUAGGACACAGGAAUUACUCAAGAUAAAAUAACACCCACAGAAGGUCCCUGGACACAAAGUGAGUUACAAAGACCUGAGGAAACAACUCACCAUUUGAGAGAGUUAGCUGAUAUACAAACAGGACUGUUAGAACUGAAGAACCAUAGUAACAGACCAAAAUGAGAGUAAUUAUUCAAUAUGUUCUUUGUGAUCAUUUAAAAGGUAAAAGAAAUUCUAGAAAUGGAACACUAAGAAGAAGAUAAAUGAACUUGAAAAAAGAAGAAAGAAAACCAAAUCAUCUACAAAUGAAAAUAAGAAACUUAAAAUAGGAGAUAAAAUAGUUGUCCUGCCACAGUUCAGGAGAGGAAUAAAAAGGUGGCUUUGAGGAAAGUCCCCAGAAAGCAACAUAGAGAUAUAAAGAAGUGGAAAACAUGAAAGCUGAAUUGAGACAUAAAUGAUACAUUGAAAAAUUAAAACAUUUCUGAGUGGAGUUCCACAAGAAGAGGACAGAGAGGUUAAGGAGGUGAGGUGGAUGGAUGAGGGGGAAAUAGAUAAAUGAACAUAUGGAAACAAAGUGGAACUAAAACUCUAAAUAACACAAAACAAAACAGGGAUGGCCAAGGUCAGAGUUUUGUUUGGAAAGUGGAUAAGAACUAUUGAUUAAUUUAGUCUCUCAUACAUUUUAAAUUUUAAUGGAAGGAAUUCUCAAAACUCAGUAAUAGGAGUUCCCUUUGUGGCGCAGUGGUUAACAAAUCCGACUGGGAGCCAUGAGGUUGCGGGUUUGAUCCCUGGCCUUUCUCAGUGGGUUAAAGAUCCAGCGUUGCUGUGAGCUGUGGUGUAGGUUUGCAGACGUGCCUCGGAUCCUGCAUUGCUGUGGCCCUGGUGUAGGCCAGUGGCUACAGCUCUGAUUAGACACCUAGCCUGGGAACCUACAUAUGCCGCAGAAGCGACCCUAGAAAAGGCAAAAAAAAAAAAAAAAAAAAA